CGGAAGACCAAGGGUUCCUGUCCAACGUUAAUCGGGGCAGGGUGAGUCGACCCCUAAGGCGAGGCCGAAAGGCGUAGUCGAUGGGAAACGGGUUAAUAUUCCCGUACUUGGUGUUACUGCGAAGGGGGGACGGAGAAGGCUAUGUUGGCCGGGCGACGGUUGUCCCGGUUUAAGCGUGUAGGUGUGUGUUCCAGGUAAAUCCGGUUCACUUUAACACUGAGGCGUGAUGACGAGGCACUACGGUGCUGAAGCAACAAAUGCCCUGCUUCCAGGAAAAGCCUCUAAGCAUCAGGUAACAUCAAAUCGUACCCCAAACCGACACAGGUGGUCAGGUAGAGAAUACCAAGGCGCUUGAGAGAACUCGGGUGAAGGAACUAGGCAAAAUGGUGCCGUAACUUCGGGAGAAGGCACGCUGACACGUAGGUGAAGUGAUUUACUCACGGAGCUGAAGUCAGUCGAAGAUACCAGCUGGCUGCAACUGUUUAUUAAAAACACAGCACUGUGCAAACACGAAAGUGGACGUAUACGGUGUGACGCCUGCCCGGUGCCGGAAGGUUAAUUGAUGGGGUCAGCGCAAGCGAAGCUCCUGAUCGAAGCCCCGGUAAACGGCGGCCGUAACUAUAACGGUCCUAAGGUAGCGAAAUUCCUUGUCGGGUAAGUUCCGACCUGCACGAAUGGCGUAAUGAUGGCCAGGCUGUCUCCACCCGAGACUCAGUGAAAUUGAACUCGCUGUGAAGAUGCAGUGUACCCGCGGCAAGACGGAAAGACCCCGUGAACCUUUACUAUAGCUUGACACUGAACAUUGAGCCUUGAUGUGUAGGAUAGGUGGGAGGCUUUGAAGUGUGGACGCCAGUCUGCAUGGAGCCGACCUUGAAAUACCACCCUUUAAUGUUUGAUGUUCUAACGUGGACCCGUAAUCCGGGUUGCGGACAGUGUCUGGUGGGUAGUUUGACUGGGGCGGUCUCCUCCUAAAGAGUAACGGAGGAGCACGAAGGUUGGCUAAUCCUGGUCGGACAUCAGGAGGUUAGUGCAAUGGCAUAAGCCAGCUUGACUGCGAGCGUGACGGCGCGAGCAGGUGCGAAAGCAGGUCAUAGUGAUCCGGUGGUUCUGAAUGGAAGGGCCAUCGCUCAACGGAUAAAAGGUACUCCGGGGAUAACAGGCUGAUACCGCCCAAGAGUUCAUAUCGACGGCGGUGUUUGGCACCUCGAUGUCGGCUCAUCACAUCCUGGGGCUGAAGUAGGUCCCAAGGGUAUGGCUGUUCGCCAUUUAAAGUGGUACGCGAGCUGGGUUUAGAACGUCGUGAGACAGUUCGGUCCCUAUCUGCCGUGGGCGCUGGAGAACUGAGGGGGGCUGCUCCUAGUACGAGAGGACCGGAGUGGACGCAUCACUGGUGUUCGGGUUGUCAUGCCAAUGGCACUGCCCGGUAGCUAAAUGCGGAAGAGAUAAGUGCUGAAAGCAUCUAAGCACGAAACUUGCCCCGA
rnacentral:rRNA from 1 species